CAUUAAUUCAUCACAAUCGAACUAAUUCUAAGAACCCUAAUUCAUCAAAUAACCCUAAAAUCAUGACAAUGACGAAAACCCUAAAAUCACAAUCAAACCCGAUUAAACCAAUCGAUCGACAUUACCUGUUGUAAUUGAUGAUUUCGAUGGUAGAGAGAGGAGAUUCUUUGGCUAUUCUCCUCUGAAACCAAUCAAUCAAAAUGGAUCUCCUCUGUCUCGCCAUCUCCUUUCAAUACUCCGGUGAUAAGCUUUGCAGAUGAAGAACAGCCGGAGAUGAUGAUCAGCACAGAAGACAGACGCGAUCCUUUGUCUACUCUCCUUUGAAAUCAAACGAGAAGAAGAUCAAGAUCUCUUUCUCUACUUUCGGAGAAAACGAGAAAAAUGAGAGAAGAGAGAAAGAGAGAGAAUUCGUGAAUUUUUUUUUUAUGGUUUUGUUUAUUUUUUCA
rnacentral:lncRNA from 1 species